rnacentral:rRNA from 1 species
AGUGAACGCUGGCGGUAGGCCUAACACAUGCAAGUCGAACGGCAGCACAGUAAGAGCUUGCUCUUACGGGUGGCGAGUGGCGGACGGGUGAGGAAUACAUCGGAAUCUACUUUUUCGUGGGGGAUAACGUAGGGAAACUUACGCUAAUACCGCAUACGACCUACGGGUGAAAGCAGGGGAUCUUCGGACCUUGCGCGAUUGAAUGAGCCGAUGUCGGAUUAGCUAGUUGGCGGGGUAAAGGCCCACCAAGGCGACGAUCCGUAACUGGUCUGAGAGGAUGAUCAGCCACACUGGAACUGAGACACGGUCCAGACUCCUACGGGAGGCAGCAGUGGGGAAUAUUGGACAAUGGGCGCAAGCCUGAUCCAGCCAUACCGCGUGGGUGAAGAAGGCCUUCGGGUUGUAAAGCCCUUUUGUUGGGAAAGAAAAGCAGCAGGUUAAUACCCCGCUGUUCUGACGGUACCCAAAGAAUAAGUACCGGCUAACUUCGUG